UAACAGGCACUGCCACUAACCAGACAAGAAAAAGAUCCCUUGACAGACAAAGCCACCUGCACUGUAUCAAUACCAAGGUCAGCUAUUAGAACAGAGAUACCACCUGCUUUUCCUCCCCACGCGCCGAGAAUACAGGUAUGUGCGCCAGCCUGGCCUACGCGCUACUUCUUUUAUUAAAUGUGUGCAUGUUUUAUUUGUUAAGAGGUACUUUAUAAAGAAACAUUAAUUUUGACAGUAACUAUAUACAUUUAUCACUCAUUGUUACAUAUUUUAUAAAUCCUUUAGUUAUGGGAUCCAGAAAAGAAGAAAACACUACAAGAAUUUUUUUUGCAAGAGAUGCAGAUGGGAAAACUUUGUUUAGCUAGAGGGGAGCAUGGAAUGGGAUUUGAACAUUUCACCAAUGCCCUUUUAGUGUGUGGGCAACCGAAAGAGCUACUGAUGUUUUUCAAAAACACACUCCCUCCUGAGGUUUUUCAGAUGCUUUUGUACAAAAUUCCCAUUAUUUGCCAGGUGAGCAUGUAUUUAAUUAUCCUUGUAAAAUAGACAGUAAAUAACCACGGGGGACUUGAUUACAGGAAACAGUGGUAGGGAUGUGGACCCCUCCCCACCAAAGUUCUCAAGUAAUAUCUAUUUCUGGUUCUAUUCUUUCACUAAGGUAAGAGUAUCUUAUUUUCCAUGUUUUACUAUAGUGAAUUGUGUGAUUUGUUAUUACAUGUGUUUUAACAUUGCAAUUUUAAAGCAGAGUGGUACUUCUUACUAACCUGA
rnacentral:lncRNA from 1 species